rnacentral:misc_RNA from 1 species
GAUGAAGAACGUAGCGAAAUGCGAUACUUGGUGUGAAUUGCAGAAUCCCGUGAACCAUCGAGUCUUUGAACGCAAGUUGCGCCUCAAGCCAUUAGGUUGAGGGCACGUCUGCCUGGGCGUCACAUAUCGUUGCCUGAUGCCAGUUUCCUCGUGAUGGGUGACUGUGCCGGGCGAAUGAUGGCUUCCCGUGAGCAUUGUUGCCUCAUGGUUGGUUGAAAAUUGAGUCCUUGGUAGGGAGCGCCGUGAUAGAUGGUGGUUGAGUGACGAACGAGACCCAAUCAUGUGAGACCCCUACCGAAUUUGGCCUUCAUGACCCACAUGCGUCUUUGGAACGCUCAUGACGAGACCUCAGGUCAGGCGGGGCUACCCGCUGAGUUUAAGCAUAUCAAUAAGCGGAGGA